AAUUAGAACUUCUUUGUAUUCCUUUCUAUAACAGCAGUUUUCAGACAGGACGUCUGAAAAAGGAUUUGCCGAGCCACGGAGGGCGAGUCAAAUCCGGCUGCGUUCAUUUCCAAUGACAGAUGUGGGAAUACUUAGAAGUUCUUAUGCCUGUA
rnacentral:ncRNA from 1 species